GACGAACGCUGGCGGUGUGCUUAACACAUGCAAGUCGAACGGUAAGGCCUCUUUGGGGGGGUACGCGUGUGGCGAGCGGGUGUGUAACACGUGUGAAAUCUCCCCUUCACUGUGGGAUAACUUCAGAAAACUGGGGCUAAUACGGGAUAGGAGCUCCUGCUGCAUUGUGGGGGUUGGAAAGUUUCGGUGGUUGGGGAUGGACUCGCGGCUUAUCAGCUUGUUGGUGGGGUAGUGGCUUACCAAGGCUUUGACGGGUAGCCGGCCUGAGAGGGUGACCGGCCACAUUGGGACUGAGAUACGGCCCAGACUCCUACGGGAGGCAGCAGUGGGGAAUAUUGCACAAUGGGCGGAAGCCUGAUGCAGCAACGCCGUGUGCGGGAUGACGGCCUUCGGGUUGUAAACCGCUUUCGAUCGUGACGAAGCUUUGUGGGACGGUAGUGGGUAAAGAAGGAACGGCCUAAUUCGUG
rnacentral:rRNA from 1 species